UACAGAGGUCUCGAGCGUUGUUCGGAUUCAUUGGGCGUAAAGGGUGCGUAGGCGGCGAGGUAAGUCGGAUGUGAAAUCCCGGGGCUCAACCCCGGAACUGCAUUCGAUACUGCCUCGCUUGAGGACUGGAGAGGAGACUGGAAUUCACGGUGUAGCAGUGAUAUGCGUAGAUAUCGUGAGGAAGACCGGUGGCGAAGGCGGGUCUCUGGACAGUUCCUGACGCUGAGGCACGAAGGCCAGGGGAGCAAAC
rnacentral:rRNA from 1 species